CGUAUGUAGUAAACUAAUAUUAAACAUAGUUAUACAUUUUAUUAACGAAUAUAUAACCUAUAAUGACAUGACAAAGGCGGCAUCAACCCGAUGUUUCCGGGAAUCAGUGGAAGCGGAAAUGGAGGCUGCACGGGCCCGUUCUGUAUGGGCGCCGGAAAUGGCGGCAGUGGAGGAGCCGGAAGAAGAUGUGGGAUGAUGGGCGGACCAAGGGGAGUGAGAGUUAAAUAUUGUAUUGGCGUCAGUUCCUGUUGUUACGGCUUGCCGGACACGAAAUUCGCCAUAGGUUGUCAAACUGUGACGUCAUCGAGCCAAGAAUUGCAGCUGGGAGAGGCAUCACCGUGGAACUAAUAUACAAAUGUCCGAUUUGCUCUUCGGAUAGAGGGAUGUCCUCUGGUUUCUCCGCAUCUCCGCCCAACAGGACACCAAAAUUACAUAUAUAGUGACAAUAACUUAAUUGCUGUAAAUUGCUGCUUUAAUUCGAAAUUCGACCAAACGUCCUUGGGUGUAGAAAGUAAAUGUAGUCACGGACGCGUAAAAACCUCAUACACUUUGAAAUGCAAAUUUACUCAUAUAUGAACAUUGGGACAUCGAUCCACAAAUAUCAAGUUGAUCUUCAAAAUGUGAGUUUUUGUCGUUUCGGUUUUUGUUAGAUAUUUUCAUAUUUUUUAAUUAUUAUACUGGCACUUUCCUUUUUAUUGUUAUACAUUUGUUCACAUAAACAAUUGAAACAACACAGUUCAAAAAUACGAAUCAAUGAAAAAAGUAAUAACAAAAAAUAUAAUAAUAAUUGUCAAAAGUAAAAUGUGUAAAAAGUAUAAUCUAUGAAAGUGUAAUUUGUAUAAUGCAUGAUUUCUAAAACGUAUAUAAUCUGUGAAAAUAAAUAUUUGUGAGA